rnacentral:misc_RNA from 1 species
AACGCACAUUGCGCCCGCCGGCAUCCCGGCGGGCAUGCCUGUUCGAGCGUCAUUUCUACCCUCAGGCGCGGCCUGGUGUUGGGGGCCUGCGCACCGCAGCCCCCGAAAGACAGCGGCGGCGAGCGCCCCGGCUCCGAGCGUAGUAGCACACGUCGCUCCGGGCGCCGGGCGCUCCCCUGCCGGAAACCCCCCAUCUCCUGAAAUGUUGACCUCGGAUCAGGUAGGAAUACCCGCUGAACUUAA